AAAGCAAAUGGUGGAUGCCUAGGUGGUUAAAGCCGAUGAAGGACGUAGAAGACAGCGAUAUGCGUCGGGGAGUUGUCAACAAAUGAUGAUCCGACGAAUUCCGAAUGGAGAAAUCCCUGACUAUGAAAGUAGUCGGAGGCAAGAUCUCGCAAGAGAUUCUGCCGGGAGACCCGGGGAAGUGAAACAUCUCAGUACCCGGAGGAAAAGAAAUCGAAAGAGAUUCCGUAAGUAGCGGUGAGCGAAAACGGAAGAGCCUAAACCUCGCAAGAGGGGUUGCAGGGUCCAAUAUAAAGUUUUGAAAAAACAGAAGAAGGUUAAGGAAUGAACAGCCAAAGAGGGUGAAAGCCCCGUAUUUGAAAUUUGAGUAAAAACUGAUUGGAUACCUAAGUACCGCGAUCCACGUGAAAUGUCGCGGGAAUCUGGGCCGACCAAGGUCCAAGGCUAAAUACUUUAACAGACCGAUAGUGAACUAGUACCGUGAGGGAAAGGUGAAAAACACCCUAUAUAAGGGAGUGAAAUAGAUCUGAAACCAUUUGCUAACAAACAGACAGAGCCUCGUAAGGGGUGAUGUCGUGCCUAUUGAAGAAUGAGCCCGGGAGUGUUUCUAGUUAUCAAGUCUAACUUUGCUAAUUCAAAGGAAGGCGUAGCGAAAGCGAGUGCGAAUAGCGCGAAUAGAUGACUGGAGACGACCCGAAGCCACUUGAGCUAACCUUGGACAGGGUGAACAUCGAUGGAAGUCGAUGGGAGGCCCGUACGGAUCAGAGCUGCAAAUCUGUCCGAUGAUCUGAGGUUAGAGGUAAUAUGCCAAUCGAAAGUGGGAAUAGCUGGCUCUCUCCGAAAUAUAUUUAGGUAUAGCGUCUGAUGGUGGGCAAUGGGGGUAGAGCUACUGGAUGAGUGUUUUGAGCGCAAGCUCAGGCAUUUAACCAAACUCCGAAUACCGUUGUUUCUAGUCAGGCAGUCAGUCGAUCCGGGCUAAGCUGGACCGGCAAAAGGGGAAGACCCCAGACUCUCAGUUAAGGUCUCUAAAUCUAUGUUAAGUGGGAAAGGUAGUGGGUUGCCUAAGACAGACAGGAGGUUGGCUCAGAAGCAGCCAUCCUUUAAAGAAAGCGUAAUAGCUCACUGUUCGACUCCGCAAGGAGUCGGCAACCUGCACCGAAAAUGUAAGGAGGCUAAAACAUAGUACCGAAACUGGAGAUUUUUAGAUUCCUUCGGGAAUUUAUAAAUGGUAGGAGAGCGUUCUUGGUGCGGCGAAGGUUGACUGAAAAGUUUGCUGGAGCGCCAAGAAGUGAGAAUCCGGGCAUGAGUAACGAAAUUCAGGUGAGAACCCUGGACUCCGAAAUAUCCAAGGUUUCCGCAGCUACGUUGUUCGUCUGCGGGUUAGUCGAUCCUAACAUGAGGCCAGUAUAGUGCUGGCGUAGUGGAUGGAUAACCGGUUAAUAUUCCGGUACUUUGGUAAAUUCGUUAUCAGUUGGGGCGAGACGGUGAGUGGGAGGUUUAGAGUAGAAGUGAAAUGCUACUUUCAAGCGUGUAGUUAGAAGGGGUUGGUAAAUCCGCCUUUUCGUUAUAAAGCGAAACGCAAAUAAGAGUUUUCCGUAAGGAGAACAAUUGAAUUGAACCCACUUAUCCAAGAAAAGCGUCGCAAUGAGAAUUUACUGAAUUCGUACCAAAACCGACACUGGUGGAUGAGUCGAGAAGACUUAGGAGAUUGAAAGACAGAUGAUUAAGGAACUUGGCAAAUUAGCUGGGCGUAAGUUUUACAAGAUGCCCUGCCCGCCCUAACAAGCGGGCUACAACAAAAGAAUGCAUGGCGACUGUUUACCACAAACACAGGUCUCUGCAAACCCGUAAGGGGAAGUAUAGGGGCUGAAACCUGACCGGUGCCAGAAGGUUAAGAAGGCGGGUGAUAGACGUAAGUUUAUUGCUUGUUUUAUAAGCCCUGGUGAACGUCAGCAGUAACUCUAACUGUUCUAAGGUAGCGAAGUCCUUUGUCGUGUAAGUUACGACACGUAUGAAAGGUUCAACGACUGUGCAACUGUCUUAAUCAUCUAUUCAGUGAAAUUGAAAGAGCGGUGAAGAUGCCGUUUAAUUACAUCAGGACAAAAAGACCCCAUGAAGCUUUACUGGAUCUUUACAUUGAUAAGAAUAUAAAUACUGUCGAGCGUAGGAGGGAGCCGCAAGGCGCCAAUGGAACACCUCCCUUAUUUAUUUUUGAGUCUUACCUAGUCGAAUGAAUCUUCGACGGGGACAGUGUAUGGUUGCUAGUUUGCCUGGGGCAGGCACCUGCAAAAAAGUAACGCGGGUAUACAAAGGUCAACUUGAUCCGGCUGGAAAUCGGAUCUUAAGUGCAAAAGCAAAAGUUGGCUUGACUGUGAGACUUACAAGUCGAAUAGCACUAGUUUACUAGAGCUAUGCCGAGACUAGAUUCUCGGUACAGGGUCGAAAGACGGUUUUAGUGAUCCUCGUGACCUAUUUGGUAUAGGCACGGGCUUACUGGAUAAAAGCUACUCUGGGGAUAACAGGCUGGUCGCAUCCGAUAGUUCAUAUUGACGAUGCGGUUCGGCACCUCGAUGUCGUCUUGGCGCAUCCUGGCCCUGAAGAAGGGGCCAAGGGUUGGUCUGUUCGCCCAUUAAAGCGCUGCGUUAGAUGGGUUCAGAGCGUCGCGAGACAGCUCGGUCUCUAUCCGAUGUAAUCGUUCGUUUCUUGAGGGGAUUCGUCUACAGUACGAGAGGACCUAGACGAGGGAACCGCUUGUGUGCCAGUUGUGCCGUCAGGCGCAUUGCUGGGUAGCUACGUUCCUAUUAGAUAACUGCUGAAAGCAUCUCAAGCAGGAAACUGACCCCGAGAUAAGGAAACGUUGUUCCGCAAGGAGCGAGAGAUCGCCGGGAGACUACCGGUUAAUACUCUGCGUGUGCAAGAUCCGUAAGGAUUUAAGCUAAGCAGU
rnacentral:rRNA from 2 species